CUAUUACCUCAGGGGGAUGGGAAGAGAGAUGGUUAUAGGAGGUCGAGAUUAUUAAGUUUUUCUCUACCGAUCUUGGCAUUAUCUCUCUGGUUACAAUAAUAUGCAUUGCUCUUGUAAUUUGAAAAAAUAAUAAAUUAAACUUGAAAAACAGAGGAAAUUUUUCCCAUCAGAAUAAGACUGCAACAGAUGAAGAAAUAGUUUACUAAAUGUGGCUGAGGGUUUAAAGUUGCAUUUGUGUACCUGGUGAAUAAAUAUGCCUACCAAGAUCAAAGCCCAUAGAGAUGACAUAUCUCUUCUUCUUCCAGACCAGACUAGGUCCUGCAGGAUGUUGAUAUUUCAGAUCAUCACUCUAAGAGCAAACAUUCAUGCAAGAUAUGAAGAGGACAUAAUUACCUUAGCAGGGAGGGGUCUGUACAAACUCCUUUGACUUUAGAGCCCUAAGAAUAGAAUAUGUUGGAGGCAGAUUAUCUGUACUACCCUUGAAAACAAUGCUCUCUAAAACCAAAGUCCACAGUACUGAGUGGAUUAGCCACUAUAAAUUACCUGUGCAGGAAUGUGUGUGUGUGUGUGUGUAUGCGUGUGUGUGUGUGUGUGUGUGUGUGUAGAAAUGUUGUGAAUAAUAAAUAUAUGGAACUUGAUGGUAAAAGUAAACAGAGCAGUAACUAAAGGAAGAUAAGAAGCCAACUAUGGCUUCCAUUUUGUUUUAUUUUUCAGGUAGGAGACAUUUGAGUAAGUUUAUAUAUUACUGGGGAAGGAGACAGAAAGGAGCAAUAAAAAUACAGAAAUGAAAAGAAAGAAGUGAUGAACAUCACUUCGACAAUUCUUCACUUUCAAAACGCAAACUGUAUCACCCGGGGUCCAAUUAAGACACAGAAACCACACUAUAAUUUGGUUGGGGAAAGUUUAAUAUAAAAAAAGUUGGCUGCUAAGCAGUAACAAAAGAGAAUUGGCUGCUAAUGGGGUAACAAGAAGUCUAAAGAAUAGAGGACUGACAUGUACAGAAAGCGGCCACUAUCCCCAGGGCUGAGGCAGAGCACACAAGGAUGGAAUGACUAUGGAAGAGCAGCCCCCACUACCUGAGCUGAGAUCCAGACCUUGAUGGGAAGUACACAGCCAUGACUUACUGGGUGGUGCAGUCACCGAGGGGCAUCCUGGCAGGACUCACUGGCAAUUCACCUUCUGGGGUACUGAGAGAAGAUGCCUAUGGAAACACAUGCUGCUGGUCACCGGUCACUGUGCACUACAAAAGUCUGCGCCAUUAUAACUACAUUCUUAGAAUGUGAUCCCUUUCAACAUUUCCUGCACCUCUGCUUCUGCACACUACCACCAAAAGACAAGAAAGGCAAGGAGACGUGACUGGAGCAAGAAAAACAGUGUUUUUCACACAAGGAUGUCCACUCCUUGUUGGGAAUGGCUUAAGAUCGACCUGGGAAAGCAAAACAUCGCCAUAUCAUUUGGAGGAAAGGCACUGGUUGGAAGAGCCUGUUGGCGUGGCAAAGCCAAGGUCUUUAAAGUCCUCAGAGAAGGCAGGCAUAGCCACCACUGGAGGACUUCCUGAUAUGUGGUACAGAGACUGAUGAGGGCAUGGGGUGACAACCUUAGGUGCCAACAGCAAGGGGAUGGAUAUACAGGGUAAAGGAGGCUUGCUGCCAUCCUACGCCUUUGAACGCCACAAAUCAGAGAUGGUACCAUGGAGGAACAUGAACAGGUGAGAGCUGAGGCAUGGGUGCCCACACACAGCCCAAGCCCAGGUGCUAACAGUUGACCAUCAGUAGCCCAGUGCCCCGAAUUCAUCCUGCGCCUGAUUAUCACCCAAAAGCAGUGCAUCGGCACCAUUCUGGUGACUCAAUAUCACACAAUGGCACCAGCCAGCAGGAACAAUCCAAUUGCCAGGCUGCCCUCCUGCACAGAGCCCAAGCCACAGAGCCCUCAGAUAACUCCAUUGAUGCAAAUCUCAGAGUUCCUCAAGGAAACAGGUCAACCCUGCACAUGGAGUGGAGAUUCAGAAAGGCCCCAAAAAGGAAAAAAACAAGGAUCAGUGUCCAUGUAUGUCCCUGUAUGGGGCUGCCAUUUGUCCUAACCACCCUGGGGUCUGCCAUAGCUGAGCCAGCCCUACUGGAAGAGGAUAGUCAAAUAACCUCACUCGUAUUCUUUUGCCACUUACUGUGUUGCCCUAGCUUCCCUCCAGGGGAUCCUCAUUUUGUCCUAGGCUCAACCUUACCUUUGAUCACUUUAGGACUCAGGCACAAGAUUUCACAUUGCUGGGAAUCCAUUUUCAGUCUUUGAAAAGACACAGUGAUUCUUCAGGAAGUUUGUUAUCCCAAAGAUGCAACAGAGACAGAAUUUCCCAGCUUGAAGGGAUUUGAAACAUCCAUAAAGUUACAGAAAUUCAUAUCUGGAGGAGUCUUAACGGUCAUUCAGACCAACGCUUUCUCGGGUAUCUAUAACAUCCAAUGCCCUAGUUUCCCUGCUGUCUUUUUUGGCCACUCCUUUUCAAUCUCCUUUGCAGGCUACCCUUUACAGGGCUCAGUCUCCACACUCUUUUGUUCUAGAUUUUCCCCUGGUGACCUCACCGAGGCCUACAGCUUUAAAUACCAUCCAUAUGCUGAUAAUUCCCAAAUUUAUAUUUCCAGUCCCAAGCUCUCCACUGAGUUUCAGGCUCAUAUAUCCAAAUGUCUACUUCUUGCCUUCAGUAUACCUUACAAACCUCUCAAGUUUGACGUGCCUAGAACUGGACUCUGGAUUUUACCUUUUGCCCGUAUCAACAAGUUCCUCUCUUAGUCUUCCAAUCACAGAAAGGGCUCCAGAAUAAAAUCCAAGCACCUAUAACUGCCUAAUAUGGCUUCUGUCCACAUCUAACCUCAAAUCUUACCUUCUGCCCUUGCUGUGCUCAAGCCUUUCUGGCCUUUCAUUUCCUUAAACACACCAAGCCUUUCCAGCAUCAGAGACUUUACAAUUCUUCCUGGAAUGCUCUUCCACUAAUUUCUUUAGGUCAUAGUUUGUGGUCAUUUGAAAACAUGUCCACAAAUUCUUUUCUAUCCUAAAAAAAGGGGGAAUCCAAUUCCCCUCCUCUUGAACAUGGACUAGCCUCAGUGGCUUGCUACUAAUGAAUUAAAUGGUAUAGAAGUGACUGUAACUUCUUAGACUAGGUGACCAAAGAUGGCACAGCCUCCACCUGGUUCUCUGUCUUGUGAGGCUCACCCUUGGAACCCAGCCAUCAUGCUGUGACAAAGCCAUGUACCACAUGCAGGUGUUUCGGGGAACAGACGUAAAUAACAUCUUUGUGUGGCGUGUUGCAGCUGUCACAGCCGCCAGCAGACAGCCGACUCCCUCACCAGUAAACACCGCGGCUUAGGUGUUGCCCACCGGGCACCGGAAGGCGGCCCCCUUCUCGCUCUCCAGUGAAUGUUCCUAAAACAACUGCGGGGUCCAAGAGCACAGGGAGAACAGCGCCCCUGACGCAGGCUGCGCACCCGCCCGGAGGAGGCAGUGCGUCAGUCCUGAGGUCACCGCCACCCGCUCCCGGGGGACGGCCGCCUGGGCAGGUGAGGAGGCGACCACCUCCCAGACGCCUGCCGGAGCUGCGGCGCACCGACUCCCUGCUUCUCCGAGCGGCGAGCGCCACCUGGAGGCUCCCUCGAGAUCUGCAUUUAGGAGGCGACGGGUCCUUUCAUCGUUUUAUUCAUUAAACAUUUAUCGAGGCCUGGAGCGAUGGUUCAAGCCUGUAAUCCCAGCACUUUGGGAGACCGAGACGGGCGGAUCACUUGAGGUCAGGAGUUGGAGACCAGCCUGGCCAACAUGGCGAAACCCCAUCUCUACUAAAAAUACAAAAAUUAGCCGGGCACGGUGGCGCACACCUGUAAUCCCAGCUACUCAUGAUGAGGCUGAGGCACAAGAAUCGCUUGAACCCGAGAGGCGGAAGUUGCAGUGAGCGGAGAUGGAGCCACUGUGUGUUAGGCUCUGGCGACGUGGGGAGAAAUAAAGAUAAUGUCUUGUUUCCCAGGGCAUUAAUAGCGUGAUGGGGAAGACAGGCCAUCAACAAUGUGCAACACUAAGGGCUAGGAAAGAGGUGGAUACAAAGGAGGGAAUAAGGAAUGUGGUCAUUCCUUAAGGUGUUUAUUGGUGCCAGGUACUGUUCAAGGCACCAAAAAGAAUGGAACCAAACAGAGAUCCUGCUCCCAAAGAGCUCAUAGUGGAAGGACAGCCAGACAAGCUUAGAAUUACGGGACAGGCCUAAGAAGGAGCCAGACUGGGGACCAGAGGCGUCCGAAGGGAAGUCCAGGAAGUACCGCAGGAAAACGUGAUAUAUAUUAAAUCUUAAAGAAUGGGCAGGAUUUUGCCAGGCUUAGUGACAAGAUAUCUUCCGUAAAAUCGUGGAACUGAAAAGAAAGGAUAUAGGUUGAAGAAGGGCUAGUUCUGUGUCUGAAAUAGAAGGAACAUGAAAGAGAAGUGCUGGGACAUGGGGCAAAAAAGGGAGUUUGGGGCCAGAUCGUGAAAGCCUUGGUUUAACAGGUGAAAAGUUCAAAUUUGAUCCAGGUAGCUGGCAGAGUCAGAGGUUCUAAAGCAGAGACCUGCUCUAUAGAAAGCUCACCAUGAAGUACAGCAGUGAUGGUGGAUGAAGAUACCAACAGCUCAACCUCCUAUGUGCCAGGGAAAUGCUGAGCGCUUAGCACCUGAUAUUUAUCUUAAUUCUCUAAAUGGGCCUAUGGGGUAAGCAUAUUAUUAUCCCAAUUUUAUUGGAAUACUUCCCUGGUAGGGCCCCUAAACAGGUAGCCAUCAAAUGCCUGAUAAAUUCCAGCUAGCUUUAAAUUCUAGUCGCUACAGAGCAGAGCCCUUCCAUCGCACUGAGCUGAAGGAGCC
rnacentral:lncRNA from 1 species